rnacentral:lncRNA from 1 species
AAACCAGUUUCGUGAUUUUGCGAUGCAUGAUCUCUCUGGCAAACCCCCACACUAUGUUUUCAGCGUCUAGAGCAUCAUCCUUCCUGUUCUUUCUCUCAAGGCUUUAACAAGUCUGAGACAUUCUGGAUGUGAAAUUAUACCUGGUCUUGAUUAUUGAUGUGAUUAAUGGUAUAACUCUCUUGCUGCCCUAUUAGUAAGGUGGGAACUUGUGUACUGUUGAAGCUGAAGAACUGUUUGGUCCUCAGGCAUAGUAAUUCUUUAUGAAACUUUUAAUUAUUGAUCUCCCA